UCUGCUAAAUAGCACGUUGUCGUCAGACGCAAGUGGAAGUGUGAAACAGGCGGCUGUUGAGGACUACAUCAACUAGUGUCGUUCGGAAGCGGAAGCGGUGUGGAUCCUUGAUGUACUGAAGUUUUAUUUCACCAAACAAAAACACUAAUGGUCUUCCCAUGACGACAUUAAAACGGAUUGUGCAUCCAGUUCACUCAGUAACCACUUCACCACUCCUCUGUGCAUCUUGCAUUAAUGUCUAGAGACAUGACAUAUUGGAUGAUGCCAUCUUGUGCAUUUAGCUAUUGCAUUGAACUUACAUCUGAUUUUUCCAGUUCUGACAUUGCUUGCUGUGUUUGUCCAACCAAAUCACUGAAUCUUGGACGAUUGUUAGGUAGUUCAUUCCAACAGUUGACCAUCAAAUUGUAUCUAUAUACAAAGUGGUUUACUUUUUGCUUGAUAUGCGUAACUAUAAUAAGUUUAAUUGAGUUAUAGUAUACGUAUUACAAUUUCUUUGAA